CGGGCCAUUAAGUCAGGGGUGAAAGUCUGCAGCUCAACUGUAGAAUUGCCCUUGAUACUGGUGGGCCUGAGUUAUAGUGAAGUAACUAGAAUAUGUAGUGUAGCGGUGAAAUGCAUAGAUAUUACAUAGAAUACCGAUUGCGAAGGCAGGGUUACUAACUAUAUACUGACGCUGAUGGACGAAAGCGUGGGGAGCGAACAGGAUUAGAUACCCUGGUAGUCCACGCCGUAAACGAUGGAUACUAGCUGUCCGGAUGCAAAUCUGGGCGGCCAAGCGAAAGUGAUAAGUAUCCCACCUGGGGAGUACGUCCGCAAGGAUGAAACUCAAAGGAAUUGACGGGGGCCCGCACAAGCGGUGGAGCAUGUGGUUUAAUUCGAUGAUACGCGAGGAACCUUACCAGGGCUUAAAUGUGGUCUGACAGCUUUAGAGAUAGAGUUUCCUUCGGGCAGAUCACAAGGUGCUGCAUGGUUGUCGUCAGCUCGUGCCGUGAGGUGUCAGGUUAAGUCCUAUAACGAGCGCAACCCCUGCCGUUAGUUGCCAGCAUGUAAUGAUGGGGACUCUAACGGGACUGCCGGUGCAAACCGCGAGGAAGGUGGGGAUGACGUCAAAUCAUCACGGCCCUUACGUCCUGGGCCACACACGUGCUACAAUGGCCGGUACAGAGAGCAGCCACUGGGCGACCAGGAGCGAAUCUAUAAAACCGGUCACAGUUCGGAUCGGGGUCUGCAACUCGACCCCGUGAAGCUGGAAUCGCUAGUAAUCGGAUAUCAGCCAUGAUCCGGUGAAUACGUUCCCGGGCCUUGUACACACCGCCCGUCAAGCCAUGGAAGCCGGGAGUGCCUG
rnacentral:rRNA from 1 species